rfam:Syntrophothermus lipocalidus DSM 12680, complete genome.
AAUUAAAUACCUGAUUGACCGUAGACAGUGGGUGGCUUUUGGAGCCUUAAUAGUUUGGCCCACCGAGGUCAGAGGAAAAUAGGUUCAAACAGCCGGUAACCUCUGCGUCUUGGUGUCUGCGGAGGUUUUGUUUUUUUGUA